rnacentral:lncRNA from 1 species
AGAACAUACUGGCAAUAUUGGGACUCUCAGAAGCUCUUAACAACUGGUUUAGUGUGGAAGAUGAAUUGGAGAAGAGAGAGAACAAAGGGGCAUCCAUCCCAAAGAUUUCCCAAAGAUGUCCUCAGUAACCAAAGUGAUUCGAAAAGCUCAGAAACAUAGAUAUCAGAGUCUGCAGUUCUCGGCAGUGUAGCGACUAAGACACUAACCCCCAUGCCAGGCUCCUAAAGGCAGGCUUCACCUUCUUCCAAGAUCAGACCUGUACCCAUCUGAUAAAGUUACAGAAGGCAUCUCGGAUUCACAACAACCCUCACCAGCCCCCCACUGAAUAGCACAUCGUCUGGCAACAGGAGGCGUUUGAUUACAUUUGGAUGGAACGCCUGCAUCAACUCCAGUUGUCCCUGAAUUGGAACUGAUGGGCCUCACGUGCUACAGCCAACAGUUUGCCUUCACCCACUCCCCUCUCCGAAGGGAACCUUUCUUUGGGAAAACAAGAAACCUACGUGCCAUCCUGGGUGAGAGACUAACAGGAGCUGUGUCCCAGCAUUGCCUUCCAGGCGAAGCAGACAAGAGUACACUCUCAGAGGUGUGAAACUGCGAGCCGUGCUUCAAGCAUCCUAGAAAGAACCUCUAAACCAGGGGACCCAAAUGCCCUCUUCAAAGUACCUCUAUGCCUCUAUGUUCAUUUCAACU